GCCGUAAAGCACAGCGGUGUGUUCAGCUGUGACUGGGACUCAUUAGAUGAGGAGAAUGUCCGUCAUGGUGCCUGGCUGUCUGUGUGUUGGUCAUCCAGCAGGGGACUGAGGAAGAAAGGUGAUGACCACAGAGAUGGGAGUAGAAAGGACCUCGUUUGGUGGAGGAUCAGCGAGGAAGAUGGAAUGUCGGGUUUCCCUGGAGUAAAGAAAGAUUCCUCAGAAGUCUCUCAUAUUUAUCCCAGUGGGCAAACAAAGACCAUGCAGAGUUUCCUCCAGUCUGAGUUGGAUGCACACGAUGUUUACCCAGCGUGUCUUGACACAUCACAUGUGAAGCUAGCACAGAGUUUGGCAUUGCAAAAACACAAAAUCUUACCGAGUAUCUUUGGUCCACUUUCUUGUACAGAUACCUUAGUGCGCUUGAAGUAAGACAAAACUAACUUUCAAACAACUAUUAAGCAAGAUAAAGGAUUUUGUUUUAAAUCUAUAAUUCAUUUAUAUGGA